CUGAUGACGGUACCUGAAGAAUAAGCACCGGCUAACUACGUGCCAGCAGCCGCGGUAAUACGUAGGGUGCGAGCGUUAAUCGGAAUUACUGGGCGUAAAGCGAGCGCAGACGGUUACUUAAGCAGGAUGUGAAAUCCCCGGGCUCAACCUGGGAACUGCGUUCUGAACUGGGUGACUAGAGUGUGUCAGAGGGAGGUAGAAUUCCACGUGUAGCAGUGAAAUGCGUAGAGAUGUGGAGGAAUACCGAUGGCGAAGGCAGCCUCCUGGGAUAACACUGACGUUCAUGCUCGAAAGCGUGGGUAGCAAACAGGAUUAGAUACCC
rnacentral:rRNA from 1 species